rnacentral:miRNA from 1 species
GAAGGUGUGAAGGGGAGUUGUGCCACAGUCUUCAGCCUGUCACUUCUCUUCCUACCACAG